GGCGCCAUCGUCUAGUCUGGUCUAGGACGCUGGGUUUUCAUCCCAGUAACUCGGGUUCAAAUCCCGAUGGCGCUA
rnacentral:tRNA from 1 species